UUCACGGAGAGUUUGAUCCUGGCUCAGGACGAACGCUGGCGGCGCGCUUAACACAUGCAAGUCGAGCGAGAACCGAGGCUUCGGCCUCGGGGACAGCGGCGAACGGGUGAGUAACACGUGGAUAACCUGCCCUCGGCACCGGGAUAGCCCGAGGAAACUCGGAUUAAUACCGGAUAGCCCUUUUGACUUUCGAGUCAGUCGGAAAAGGUAGCUUCGGCCUCUGGCCGAGGAUGGGUCCGCGGCGGAUUAGCUUGUUGGUGGGGUAAUGGCCUACCAAGGCAUCGAUCCGUAGCUGGUCUGAGAGGACGAUCAGCCACACUGGGACUGAGACACGGCCCAGACUCCUACGGGAGGCAGCAGUGGGGAAUCUUGCGCAAUGGGCGAAAGCCUGACGCAGCGACGCC
rnacentral:rRNA from 1 species